rnacentral:rRNA from 1 species
CUCACUAUUGGAGCGGCCGAUAUCGGAUUAGGUAGUUGGUGGGGUAAAGGCUCACCAAGGCAACGAUCCGUAGCUGGUUUGAGAGGACGACCAGCCACACUGGGAUUGAGACACGGCCCAGACUCCUACGGGAGGCAGCAGUGGGGAAUUUUGGACAAUGGGGGAAACCCUGAUCCAGCCAUCCCGCGUGUAUGAUGAAGGCCUUCGGGUUGUAAAGUACUUUUGGCAGAGAAGAAAAGGCAUCCCCUAAUACGGGAUGCUGCUGACGGUAUCUGCAGAAUAAGCACCGGCUAACUUCGUGCCAGCAGCCGCGGUAAUACGUAGGGUGCAAGCGUUAAUCGGAAUUACUGGGCGUAAAGCGUGUGUAGGCGGUUCGGAAAGAAAGAUGUGAAAUCCCAGGGCUCAACCUUGGAACUGCAUUUUUAACUGCCGAGCUAGAGUAUGUCAGAGGGGGGUAGAAUUCCACGUGUAGCAGUGAAAUGCGUAGAUAUGUGGAGGAAUACCGAUGGCGAAGGCAGCCCCCUGGGAUAAUACUGACGCUCAGACACGAAAGCGUGGGGAGCAAACAGGAUUAGAUACCCUGGUAGUCCACGCCCUAAACGAUGUCAACUAGCUGUUGGGGCCGUUAGGCCUUAGUAGCGCAGCUAACGCGUGAAGUUGACCGCCUGGGGAGUACGGUCGCAAGAUUAAAACUCAAAGGAAUAGACGGGGACCCGCACAAGCGGUGGAUGAUGUGGAUUAAUUCGAUGCAACGCGAAAAACCUUACCUACCCUUGACAUGUCUGGAAUGCCGAAGAGAUUUGGCAGUGCUCGCAAGAGAACCGGAACACAGGUGCUGCAUGGCUGUCGUCAGCUUGUGUCGUGAGAUGCUGGGUUAAGUCCCGCAAUGAGCGCAACCCUUCUCAUUAGGUGCUACGCAAGAGCACUCUAAUGAGACUGCCGGUGACAAACCGGAGGAAGGUGGGGAUGACGUCAAGUCGUCAUGGCCUCUAUGCGUAGGGCCUCACACGUCAUACAAUGGUCGGGACAGAGGGUGGCCAACCCGCGAGGGGGAGCCAAUCUCAGAAACCAGAUCGUAGUCCGGAUCGCAGUUUGCCACUCGACUGCCAGAAGUCGGAAUCGUUAGUAAUGGCGGAUAAGAAUGUAGCGGCGAAUAAGUUCCCGGUUUGAGUCAUCACCACCCUUCAA